GGGUUUCUACUUUCUGGGGGUACAGAAAAUAGAAACAUGACUCAGAGUUCCUGCCUCAUGGAGUCUGGGAGCUUUCCUCCUCAUGGAUCUGGGAGCUUCCAGGAACACAUCAAGGAAGAAGGAGGUGAGGACAGAGUUGGUUGAGGGAGAGAGUAGCAAGACAGCUGUUGUAGAGCAGAGUUUACCGGGUUCCCCGUUCUCAGUUCCAAAGCUAGGGUCUUUGUUAUAUAGUAGAGGGUUUCCAUUGCACCCCACUAACAGUGCAAAUCUUGGGGACAGAGGACCAACUAGUGCUCAGGCCUCCCACUGGAACACUCUUGGCCUUCCUAGAGCUCACUACUAUACAACACAGGUGUCACGUCUCAACACCCACCCAGCUUACCUGCAGAUCCCAGAAGAGCCAAGAGGUUCCGAGGGCACCCUUAAUGAGACAAGGCAUCUGAUGACACCUUCCAUUACACCAGGCACCAGUACAGAAAGCAAGCUGUUCUGCGGCACCAGAACAUAUGAAAAGGAAGCGCAGUUUUCCACACACAGUCGCUUCCCGUCUCAGACCCCAUGACUGCAGAGUUCCAGAAAGUAAACACUGUAGAUCCAAGCAGAGUGCCAGAUGGUGGGCUGAAGUAGAACCAGCGCACAGAGACUGGAACACACAGGGCUGGGAGCUCCUUGCUCUCUUCGUCUGCUUCCACCUAUUCAGAUGUCUCCAGGGUUCAGGAAUAGAAGCUUUCACUGAAGAGACAUCAGGCAUCUAAGGAUCGCUUGACACAGUGGAAUACCAGGCACACAGUGGGAAGCUUCUCCCAGUGGGUUGCUAACAGAUGAAGAGCAGAAACAGGAAUGGAUCCUUCCUCUUAAGGUUCCUGCCACCUUAGACUGGAGACCAAGCCUGCAGGACGUGAAGCUUGGGAAGUCAGAUCACGCUCCAAGAAUGGAGUCGUAUGAGGAGGAUUCUGAGUGCUUGGGAGAAAACUCCAAGAAACCAGGACGAGAGAUUUGUGAUUUCAGUUUCUUCAAAGUCACAAAAUUUUUCUUGGAUUAUGCUUUUGUGCCCCUCCCAGAUGUAGCAAUUGACUUCAGAUUAUUCAUCAUAACUGGCUAUUAUUUGUUUAUACACCUCUAUGGAAAAUCCAUGUGUGGCUUUGGCCUGGUGACUGUACACUUUACUCACUUGGCUCUGAGUAACCCUCAAAGUAUAAAUUGUCUGAUGCUCUGAACAAA
rnacentral:lncRNA from 1 species